rnacentral:misc_RNA from 1 species
AAGUCGUAACAAGGUUUCCGUAGGUGAACCUGCGGAAGGAUCAUUAUCGAAUUACGAGGCAGGGGUUGUCGCUGGCCUUUCGAGGCAUGUGCACGCUCCGAGCCGCUUAAUCUCCAAACUUUACACCUGUGAACUCACUGUAGGGCCUCUCCCCUCCCGGGGACGUGUGUCCUAUGUAUUACCCCACAAACAACUCGUAUGUCUUAUAGAAUGUAAUCAAAUAUCUUCGCCCUAAAAAAGCGAUGAUAAACUUUAUACAACUUUCAACAACGGAUCUCUUGGCUCUC